CGGGCUCAGCAGAGCCGCGCGCCUCCGCCUUUCCUCCCUCCCACAGCUCCAGGUCAGCGUCUUGGCCCCAGCACUCAGGGAUUCCUGUGAUUUCUUCGACUCCGGAGGAUCUGGGCCCUUUUCCCCUCUGUUGCCAUCUGUCUCGCCCCAGCACUGCCAAGGGGGACGGGGCUGCAGGAUCUUCCUGUUACCAUGGAGAGAGGCGAAGAGCAUGUAUGGACAAGAUAAUAUAGAAAGAACAGCAAGCAAACAAACCUCACCGAGGUCAGUUCUCCCCUGGCUUAGUGCGUGUGAUGGAGGCGGGGAUGGGCUGAAACUUCCAGCCACUCUGAAGGCAUUCAUACAGCGAGGACCAACAGCACAGCUUGGAUCCUCAGAUGAACUUUGUUGCAGGGCUUGGCUUCUUCCUGUUAGAUCUCCUAAUUGGAUUUCUCCUCUCCAAUCUACUUAGUCUCUUCUGUGCGCCCAGCAAAACCCUUUAACCCUUCGACACCCCUCCACCUCGCUGAGCUGGCUGCCCUCGGAUGCUCUCUUCUCCCCGCGCGGCUCUGAUUUAGCUCCCUCUUGGCAGCAUCACUCAUUUCCCCCCCUCUGCGAAUAACUGAGCUGUGCUUGAUGUUACUUCAGAGCAGCUCCUCUUCCCACUUGGCACCGGCACGGCUUCCCUAAGCGACGGCUGUCCUCCCUCGUCUCGCUGCCCAAAGACAAUGUGCUGCUUCCUAAUCUCCUUCGCUAUCUGCGGGCUGCGGGGGGGCACAAAGGCUCGUUUGGUUUUAACCGAGAAUAAGCAAAGUGACCUACAUCACCCUCCAGAAAGGCUAGCAGCAGCUCCGAAGUCACGCUAGGGCCAAGGAGUGCUGCUGAGAGCUGGAGGGGACGGAUCCGUCAAGCUCAGACUCUUCUUUUCCCCUCCAGGAGAGGUGAGGCUAUCUGAUUUUCUCCUUCUUUCCCCAACCUGGACCAAGGUUUCCAGGAGAAACCUGCUGGUUUGAGGUGUCACAGGCGCAGGGGACAGCUGAGGGCAGCUGCAAGUGAAAUCGCCCAGAAGUGACAAGACUUUGGCUGCAACUAACAGAAAGCUGAAGCUCUGCUCCGGGCAUCAGCUGAGACAGGAGGGUUUCUGAAACCAAGCCUGGUGGUGCCAGAGGUGGUGGAAUAAGAUCUUCUACCAGUGAGUGUGAAAGGAGGAAAAACAGGGAGAAGUGGUACCCAAGUCCUUCCUACCUGGCCUCUCAGCCCAGGUCCAGGUGCCUGGCUCUUGGCAGGCCUUGAUGGACCCCAUCCCUCUCCUCUUUUCCUGCUUUUCCAGCUUCUUUGUGACCUCAGCACCUUUGUGCUUGUGAUGCUGGAGCGUGUCGCCAUAGUUAAGGCUGCUAUUCCCAGCAGGAAUAUCAUCCCACCUGUGAGACGGAUAGGUUUGAACAUCGGGGUGUGGAUGAGUGAACACGAUUACCCUCACUCGCUGUUCCCACUGAGCAGGUGGAAAAACAAAUCUGCCAGGUACAGAAAGCCCUUCUGGGGAACGGCAAUGGGGAGAGCCCUCCCAUGGAGGAGCUGGUCCGAGGGAGAGCGGGCAGGGAUUAAUUUGCUGAGAAAACCUAUAGCUUCAAACUGGGUCUGUUUGAAGGGUUCAUGUGGAAAAAUGGUGGUCAGGGUUACCUCUCUGUAUCCUAUCCUUGUGUUGGCAGAGCUAUGACAAGCUUGGUCCCUGGGGCUUCCCUGGGCUCUGGUUGCCCUGAGUGCUCAAGGAGCUUGCAAGUUAUCUCUUUUUUCUUUUUUUUUCUUUUUUUUUUUCUUUUUUUUUUCCCAAGCUGGAGGGCUCGGGAGAGGGACAGGGUCACACCUGUUACAUAGAGCAUUUUUCACUGUUUAAGUGGGAAUAUGGAGCACAAGUUGUCUGUUAAAAUAGUAAUAAUAAGUUCAGGAUUUUAUGGGGGGCUUACAGUGUUAUAGGCUUUGCCUAUUAGACCCAUUUAUGGGAUCCAUGAGAUUAAAUAAUGCUUUUUGUACCUAAAUAUCAGCUAAAAUUGUUUCUCUGACGGCUUAGGCACCGAAGGAAUAGGCACUGCCUGUUGCUCACUACGAGCAUUGGCUUUUGUUUGACUGGGAUCGUGUUUUAUAACAACCCUGCUCAGUUUGCAGUGACCCCAGCAGGCAAUCACACCGUGGCUAAUAGCAAACUCACUGGCAGGGGCUUACCGCUGGUAUUUGCUGCUGACGGUGGAAGGUAGCUGGUUGAGGUCUGUGGCGAUGAUGUGGUGAUUAGGGUGGGUUGUUGGUCACAGCACAACCGGGUAAUUGCUAACGAUGAGCUAGUGAACUCCCAGGUAAUUGCACCUUACCCAGCCAGGUGUGUUGUCACCAGCCGUGUUAUAAAGGCAAAGCUGUGAGGUGUGUGAAGGGCAGUCAUUGUCUCCAUGUGACACUGCUGAAUCACAGCCAGAAAAUGAUCCCUUCCCCUUACCAAGGAAAAUAAUGCUUGAUCUGUUUGUGUUUGUUUUAUUAAAGAGAUAAUA